GAUGAACGCUAGCUACAGGCUUAACACAUGCAAGUCGAGGGACCGGCGCACGGGUGAGUAACACGUAUCCAACCUGCCCUUGACUCGGGGAUAGCCUUUCGAAAGCAAGAUUAAUACCCGAUACAAAGGAUGGGGAUGCGUUCCAUUAGGUUGUUGGUGAGGUAACGGCUCACCAAGCGUUCGAUGGAUAGGGGUUCUGAGAGUGAGGACCCUGACAUUGGAACACAGCCAAGGUCCAAACGCCAAGGAGAGGCAGGAGUGCGGAAUAUUGGGCAAUGGGCGCUAGCCUGCAACAGCCAAGUAGCGUGAACGGUGAAGGGGUGUGGGUCGUAAACUACUUUUAUAUAAGGAUCGGUAUUGGAUUAAUAAGGAACGGCUAACUACGUGCCAGCAGCCGCGGUAAUUC
rnacentral:rRNA from 1 species